rnacentral:lncRNA from 1 species
CUGCGCCUUCUCAAUUUUCUCAGGUUCAUUACUGGUCUCACUAUCCUGUAUCAGCUCUUCUACUUCACAUGCAUGAUCUGUCAGCAGGACAAUAUGAUCUGCCGAUCAGAAGCAGUUUAGCAGUUAUUCAUUUAUGUUGAAACCUUUUGUGCCCAGUAAAGUCCGUGAAGGACACAUCUUAGGCAAACGACAGAGAUCUUUAAAGUGACGGUGUUUCUUUUUUCCUCUUCAACGAUUUUGGACCUUUAACGGAUUAUAUUCCUUUGUGUAUUAAAUAUUGCCUCUUAAAAUUGAGGCCGUCUUUUCCUUUCUUUCUUUUUCAGGCUAUUGUAUGGCUUUUAGCUGGUGCGAUUGAACACUGGAAUUCAGAGUAGAUUGUUUGCCUCCUUUGGAGCUAGAGUGGAAAAAAGAGAAUUUGGGGGAAGAGGCUGGGUCUGCUGGUGAUCUGCACAAGACAAGAUCACAGAUGGUGAUCUGCUCUGGGAAGGAGGUAGGCACUGAGGCCUGGCCAGCAGAAGGGAAGGGCACAGACUGGGAAAAGCAGCAGCCACGAGGGAGGAGUGCAAACACCAGUGUGGAGGUACAACAUGCCGUUACUGCUUACAGCAACAGGGAUGAGCAUGACUAUGCAAGGUGCAUCUCCAGUGUUCUCCGAGAAGCAUCCCAAGUAAAUCUCCACCAUCCUGGCCUCACUCAUACCUCACUUACUAUAAAACUCUGGCUAAACCAUUUACUUUACCGGCAAGACCAGGAGACAAAGAAAUGGGACAGAGGUAGUGAUGGAAAUACAGACGGCAACACUGCUCCCUCCUUCCAUCUGCCAGCUCUGGUUCCACACUGA